GUGAGGAAUAUUGGUCAAUGGGCGGGAGCCUGAACCAGCCAAGUCGCGUGAAGGAAGAAGGAUCUAUGGUUCGUAAACUUCUUUUGCAGGGGAAUAAAGUGCAGGACGUGUCCUGUUUUGUAUGUACCCUGAGAAUAAGGAUCGGCUAACUCCGUGCCAGCAGCCGCGGUAAUACGGAGGAUGCGAGCGUUAUCCGGAUUCAUUGGGUUUAAAGGGUGCGUAGGCGGACUAUUAAGUCAGUGGUGAAAUCCUGCAGCUUAACUGCAGAACUGCCAUUGAUACUGAUAGCCUUGAGUUUGGUUAAGGUAGGCGGAAUGUGUAAUGUAGCGGUGAAAUGCUUAGAUAUUACACAGAACACCAAUUGCGUAGGCAGCUUACUGAGCCGACACUGACGCUGAGGCACGAAAGCGUGGGGAUCGAACAGGAUUAGAAACCCGGGUAGUCC
rnacentral:rRNA from 1 species